rnacentral:rRNA from 2 species
AGAGUUUGAUCCUGGCUCAGAACGUACGCUGGCGGCACGCCUAACACAUGCAAGUCGAACGAAGUAGCAAUACUUAGUGGCAGACGGGUGAGUAACAUGUAGGUAUCUGCCCUUUGGCCUGGAAUAACACGAGGAAACUUGUGCUAAUACCGGAUAAGUCUUUACGGAGAAAGCUUUAUGCACCAUUGGAUGAGCCUGCACUUGAUUAGUUUGUUGGUGGGGUAAUGGCCUACCAAGACUGUGAUCAAUAGCUGAUUUGAGAGGAUGAUCAGCCACAUUGGGACUGAGACACGGCCCAAACUCCUACGGGAGGCAGCAGUGGGGAAUCUUGCACAAUGGAGGAAACUCUGAUGCAGCGAUGCCGCGUGAGUGAAGAAGGCCCUUGGGUUGUAAAGCUCUUUCGUCGGGGAAGAAAAUGACUGUACCCGAAUAAGAAGGUCCGGCUAACUUCGUGCCAGCAGCCGCGGUAAUACGAAGGGACCUAGCGUAGUUCGGAAUUACUGGGCUUAAAGAGUUCGUAGGUGGUUGAAAUAGUUAGUGGUGAAAUCCCAGAGCUUAACUCUGGAACUGCCAUUAAAACUUUUCAGCUAGAGUAUGAUAGAGGAAAGCAGAAUUUCUAGUGUAGAGGUGAAAUUCGUAGAUAUUAGAAAGAAUACCAAUUGCGAAGGCAGCUUUCUGGAUCAUUACUGACACUGAGGAACGAAAGCAUGGGUAGCGAAGAGGAUUAGAUACCCUCGUAGUCCAUGCCGUAAACGAUGUGUGUUAGACGUUGGAAAUUUAUUUUCAGUGUCGCAGGGAAACCGAUAAACACACCGCCUGGGGAGUACGACCGCAAGGUUAAAACUCAAAUGAAUUGACGGGGACCCGCACAAGUAGUGGAGCAUGUGGUUUAAUUCGAAGAUACGCGCAGAACCUUACCAACACUUGACAUGUUCGUCGCGACUCUAAGAGAUUAGAGUUUUCGGUUCGGCCGGACGAAACACAGGUGCUGCAUGGCUGUCGUCAGCUCGUGUCGUGAGAUGUUGGGUUAAGUCCCGCAACGAGCGCAACCCUCACUUUUAGUUGCCAUCAUUAAGUUGGGCACUCUGAAAGAACUGCCAGUGAUAAGCUGGAGGAAGGUGGGGAUGACGUCAAGUCCUCAUGGCCCUUACGUGUUGGGCUACACACGUGCUACAAUGGUAUCUACAACAGGAAGCAAGACUGCGAAGUUAAGCAAAUCCCUAAAAGAUACCUCAGUUCGGAUUGCACUCUGCAACUCGAGUGCAUGAAGCUGGAAUUACUAGUAAUCGUGGAUCAGCGUGCCACGGUGAAUGCGUUCCCGGGUCUUGUACACACCGCCCGUCACACCAUGGGAGUUGGUUCUACCUUAAGGCAAGGUUUCAAACCCUUGACCACGGUAUAGUCAGCGACUGGGGUGAAGUCGUAACAAGGUAACC